rnacentral:rRNA from 1 species
AGAUUGAACGCUGGCGGCAUGCCUUACACAUGCAAGUCGAACGGCAGCACGGGGGCGACCCUGGUGGCGAGUGGCGAACGGGUGAGUAAUAUAUCGGAACGUACCCUGGAGUGGGGGAUAACGCAGCGAAAGUUGCGCUAAUACCGCAUACGAUCUACGGAUGAAAGUGGGGGAUUCGCAAGAACCUCAUGCUCGUGGAGCGGCCGAUAUCUGAUUAGCUAGUUGGUAGGGUAAAAGCCUACCAAGGCAUCGAUCAGUAGCUGGUCUGAGAGGACGACCAGCCACACUGGAACUGAGACACGGUCCAGACUCCUACGGGAGCAGCAGUGGGGAAUUUGGACAAGUGGGGCAACCUGAUCCAGCAAUGCCGCGUGAGUGAAGAGUCCGUCGGUUAGUAAG